GCUGUUGUUUUCUUGGUUGUCCUCACAGCCGGCCUCUUCCUCCUGUCAGAAGCUGCUAAAGAUUCCGUCUCUCACAGUUGAAGAGUAAAUAUGAUAAAAAUGACAGACCUCUACAUGCUUUGUUUACAGAAGAAUCCUCAUCCUCCAUCUUGUAGACGUCUCCUUCAUCUGCCCUAAAC